UGUACAACGGCUCUCUUCCACCCGUCUCUUCGUUGUAGUUUUUGCAGAAAGACCCCGUGUUGGCUUGGAGACGGGGCUCGCGUCGUCUCGUGAGACGACGGGUGCGGCCCGUGCUCCAAGGCGCAGAGGCUUCUCCAGCACCGUUGUAUGCCUCGUCUCUCCAUCUUGCCGGAUUCAAGCGGAUCCCGUGCGCACGGAGCGGGAGGGAUUAUCGCGCCAAAUUCCUUCCAGUUCGAGCUCAGCCUUGCGAUAUCCAGUCUCCAUGCAAGAAGGAAUCGAAGAGGGUGGGGAAGAAGAUGAACAGGGGAGGUCGGACGAGAAAGGCAGGCGCGAGGCAACCGGGCUCCUGCAACUUCGGCAGCCAAGCUCAUUCGUAUAGCUAUUUUUAGCAAAAUGUUGUUCCUGUUUUCUGUGUAGCUGUCAUUCAGUGAUGAAGAAUUAGAUGAUGCUCUUGUAUAGCUGCUCUUGGCAACAGGUUAUUCAGUGAUGAAUUAUCUGGAAAAUUAUGUUUCUUGCUUUCUUGUUUGUCACACAGUGGUAGACAAAAAUUGUUCACAAGUU